AUGUUCGGGAUUCGGCUCAAAGCCUACAAACAAAUACAGAAUACAGAAAGCAUUGGAAAAACAUGUAGAGUUUUGAAUUUAAAAACCAGAAUAACACGCAGUACGAAUCAAAGACCACGAAGCCAAUUAAGGUUGCUAGUGGAGGACGUAGGCGUCGUACUCGAGGACGAGCAGGUUCUCGGGGUCCGCGGACUUGACCAUCCGGCUCUGCGUGUACCCGCGCGCCAUCCGGAACGCGCCGGUGCCCCCGACGAUCGGCCGCUCCAUCACCGAGCCCAGCACCGCGCGGCCGAACAUCGCCAGCGUGCUGCCGUUGUACGGCCCGUCCGUGAACACGAAGUUGAGCAGCGUCGUGAUCGCCCCCUCCGAGAGCGAGGCGCCCGCGGUGAGCCCCUGCGCGCGGCCGAUCAGGCGGGACGCCGGGUCGGCGCCCUCGCGGAGCAUGUCGUCGACCACGCCGACGUAGCCGAACCCGAAGGCCGAGCCGCUGGCGCCCGCCGGCGGGGACGCCACCGCCGCCGCCGUGCCGUUCGGCCCCGCGGUGUAUAUCUCGUGGAAGUAGAAGUGGAGGUGCGUCAUGGCGCCGUUGCCGUUGCCGGCGUACCCACCACCAUCUGCCGCCGCUGUUGCCGUGGUGGUUGCUGCCGCGAGGAAGAGUAA
rnacentral:rRNA from 1 species